rnacentral:rRNA from 1 species
CCUACGGGUGGCUGCAGUGGGGAAUAUUGGACAAUGGGCGAAAGCCUGAUCCAGCCAUGCCGCGUGUGUGAAGAAGGCCUUCGGGUUGUAAAGCACUUUCAGUGGGGAAGAAAGCCUUGGGGCUAAUACCCUCGAGGAAGGACAUCACCCACAGAAGAAGCACCGGCUAACUCCGUGCCAGCAGCCGCGGUAAUACGGAGGGUGCGAGCGUUAAUCGGAAUUACUGGGCGUAAAGCGCGCGUAGGCGGUCUGAUAAGCCGGUUGUGGAAGCCCCGGGCUCAACCUGGGAACGGCAUCCGGAACUGUCAGGCUAGAGUGCAGGAGAGGAAGGUAGAAUUCCCGGUGUAGCGGUGAAAUGCGUAGAGAUCGGGAGGAAUACCAGUGGCGAAGGCGGUCUUCUGGACUGACACUGACGCUGAGGUGCGAAAGCGUGGGUAGCAAACAGGAUUAGAUACCCCAGUAGUC